CGGAAUGCUCGCGCCGUGGGGCGGAGAGACGCUUCUGGGACGCGCCCUGUAGAGAGCUGGAGAACGUUGCUUACCUGUGGAAUUGCCACAGAAUUCGCCCCAGUAGGAAUGCAGUUUCCUCAAGUGGACGACCACUACUGAUGUACAGACUUCCCCACCUGUUUGGCACAGACUACAUCAAGGCAGUAUCCCAUCAGCAGAUACAAGCUUGUAGAGAGGAAUGCCUGCCAAGAGGUCCACAUCCAUGUGAUGAGACUGUUUUUUACAUUUGUUGCCUUGCAAUGUCAGAAAACUAUUCAAGAAUGUUAGGCAAUACUGGAGGCAGAUGAACUCUACUUUUUCUUACGGGCCUACAUCCACACUCAGCUUUAAUAGCUGUUCCCAGGCAUACAGAGACCUGAACAGAUAACCGACUUUCAGAUCUGUCAGACUAGAGGACACAGUAGCCAGUGAAUUUUAACUUCAAAAUUGUCAGUUGUUUUUUUUGUCUGUUAAUGCCUGUCUAAUUAAUGUUUUGUAAUCAACAUGGCAGUGGCAAUUGAAAAUGUACUUGUAUUACAUCUGAAUGUAAUUUUAUUAUGAAAAUUAUUGAAAGUUGUGAGUUAUGUGUUUAAAGCCUUGAUUUGCAGUUAAUGUAUAAUGUAUAUAAACUGUGGGCUUUUUCAAAAAACCAAAAUAAUUUUGGCUCUAUUAUUACUUUGAUAGACGCCAGCUAAUAUUGUUAUGGUUGUUGCUAUGGUCAUGGGGAAGUGGGUCACGUGGUGGUGCAUCAGCCAGGUGGUAAAAUCAGCGUGUUUUUUGAACUGAGAGGGUGAGGGGGGAAGUCAUA